rnacentral:rRNA from 1 species
AGAGUUUGAUCCUGGCUCAGAUUGAACGCUGGCGGCAGGCCUAACACAUGCAAGUCGAACGGUAACAGGAAGAAGCUUGCUUCUUUGCUGACGAGUGGCGGACGGGUGAGUAAUGUCUGGGAAACUGCCUGAUGGAGGGGGAUAACUACUGGAAACGGUAGCUAAUACCGCAUAACGUCGCAAGACCAAAGAGGGGGACCUUCGGGCCUCUUGCCAUCGGAUGUGCCCAGAUGGGAUUAGCUAGUAGGUGGGGUAACGGCUCACCUAGGCGACGAUCCCUAGCUGGUCUGAGAGGAUGACCAGCCACACUGGAACUGAGACACAGUCCAGACUCCUACGGGAGGCAGCAGAAGGGCGAAUU